ACCCAGCGGGAGGCGACCGAGUCGGGUGCCAGGGGGCGCUGCGGAACCCGGCGGGGGGCGAGGCAGCGGCGGGACCCGGCACUAGGGGACGCUGCGCGCGGUCCCCCGCGCCCCUCCUCCUGCCGGGCGCACCGCUCGGCCCCGUGGAGGCGGGAGCGCGGGAGCACAGGCGCGGGGCGAGCGCAGGGAGCGCGCAGCGGCCCUGGCCCCCGCGGGAGCGCGGCUGCGGGGCCGAGCAGGGGCGGUGGGUGGCCAGGCGUCCCUCUUAGCCUGCGCAACUGCCCGCGCGCGGGCCGCGGUCCCCCGGGAUGCGAGCAGUGGCGGCUCGGCCGGCCGGGUCCCGAGCGGCGCGGAGGCCGGCCGCGUACGCUCCGCCCUCUUUGGCCCGGACCCAAUCUCCAGGGACUAAAAAUAUUGCCCGGAGGCUCCUGAGCGGAAUCAGAUCGCAUUAAGUAGGACGCAGGCUGAGGUGACUGAGCUUUUCAGCACCAGGGCCCGAAGAGCAGACUCCAGAGAGCGGUCCCGCCCACGCGCGUUCAGCAGCUAGCGUCCUCCCUCCUCCGGCAGGAACGUGCCUCCUGGGUCAGUAUGAAGCUGAAAAAGCAGGUGACGGUGUGUGGGGCUGCUAUCUUCUGUGUGGCCGUCUUUUCUCUGUACCUUAUGCUGGACCGAGUGCAGCAUGAUCCUGCCAGACACCAGAAUGGUGGGAACUUCCCCAGGAGCCAAAUCUCUGUGCUACAGAACCGGAUAGAACAGCUGGAACAACUGCUGGAGGAAAACCAUGACAUCAUAAGCCGUAUCAAGGACUCUGUACUGGAACUGACAGCCAAUGCGGAGGGCCCGCCAGCCCUGCUGCCCUACCAUACCGCCAACGGUUCCUGGGCUGUGCUCCCGGAGCCCCGGCCCAGCUUCUUCUCCGUCUCCCCCCAGGACUGCCAGUUUGCUUUGGGGGGACGGGGUCAGAAGCCAGAACUACAGAUGUUAACCGUGUCUGAGGAUUUGCCGUUUGACAAUGUGGAGGGUGGCGUGUGGAGGCAAGGCUUUGACAUCUCCUACAGCCCAAAUGACUGGGACACUGAAGACCUGCAAGUGUUUGUGGUGCCUCACUCCCACAACGAUCCAGGCUGGAUCAAGACUUUUGACAAGUACUACACGGAACAGACCCAGCACAUCCUCAACAGCAUGGUGUCCAAGCUGCAGGAAGACCCCCGGCGGCGCUUUCUCUGGGCAGAAGUCUCCUUCUUCGCCAAGUGGUGGGACAACAUCAGUGCCCAAAAGAGGGCAGCAGUUCGAAGGCUGGUGGGAAAUGGGCAGCUGGAGAUUGCGACAGGCGGAUGGGUGAUGCCCGACGAGGCCAACUCCCAUUACUUUGCCUUGGUUGACCAGCUCAUCGAGGGGCACCAGUGGCUGGAGAGAAACCUGGGUGCAACCCCGCGCUCGGGCUGGGCAGUGGACCCCUUUGGACACAGCUCCACCAUGCCUUACCUGCUGCGCCGUGCCAACCUGACCAGCAUGCUGAUUCAGAGGGUGCAUUAUGCCAUCAAGAAGCACUUUGCUGCCACUCAUAGCCUGGAGUUCAUGUGGAGGCAGAUGUGGGAUUCAGACUCCAGCACAGACAUCUUUUGCCACAUGAUGCCCUUCUACAGCUACGACGUUCCACACACCUGUGGCCCCGAUCCCAAGAUCUGCUGCCAGUUUGAUUUCAAACGUCUGCCGGGUGGGAGAAUCAAUUGCCCUUGGAAGGUGCCACCCCGGGCUAUUACAGAAGCCAAUGUGGCAGACAGGGCAGCCCUGCUCCUGGACCAGUACCGGAAGAAGUCCCGGCUGUUCCGAAGCAACGUCCUCCUCGUGCCACUUGGUGAUGACUUCCGGUAUGACAAGCCCCAGGAAUGGGAUGCCCAGUUCUUCAACUACCAGCGGCUCUUUGACUUCCUCAACAGCAAGCCUGAGUUCCAUGUGCAGGCCCAGUUUGGGACCCUCUCUGAGUAUUUCGAUGCCCUGUAUAAGAGGACAGGAGUAGAGCCUGGUGCCCGGCCUCCAGGGUUUCCUGUGCUGAGUGGGGACUUCUUCUCCUACGCUGACCGGGAGGACCACUACUGGACAGGCUAUUACACCUCCCGGCCUUUCUACAAGAGCUUGGACCGCGUCCUAGAAGCCCACCUGCGUGGGGCAGAGAUUCUAUACAGCCUGGCUUUGGCCCAUGCCCGCCGUUCUGGACUGGCCGGCCAGUACCCGCUGUCUGAUUUUGCUCUUCUGACGGAAGCUCGGCGUACACUGGGCCUCUUCCAGCACCACGAUGCCAUCACGGGAACCGCCAAGGAGGCAGUAGUGGUAGACUACGGGGUCAGGUUGCUGCGUUCCCUGGUCAGCCUCAAGCAGGUUAUCAUCAAUGCUGCCCACUACCUGGUGCUGGGGGACCAGGAGACCUACAGCUUUGACCCUGGGACACCCUUCCUCCAAAUGGAUGACAGCCGUGUAAGCCAUGAUGCCCUGCCCGAGCGCACGGUGAUCCGGCUGGACUCCUCACCCAGGUUUGUGGUGGUAUUUAACCCGCUGGAACAGGAGCGGCUCAGUGUGGUGUCCCUGCUGGUCAACUCGCCCCGGGUGCGCGUCCUUUCAGAGGAGGGCCAGCCCCUGUCUGUGCAGAUCAGUGUGCACUGGAGCUCGGCUACGGACAUGGUCCCUGAUGUCUACCAGGUGUCAGUACCCGUCCGCCUGCCAGGCCUGGGCCUGGGUGUGCUGCAGCUGCAGCCAGAUCUCGAUGGGCCCUACACGCUGCAGUCUUCCGUGCGGGUCUACCUGAACGGCGUGAAACUGUCCGUCAGCAGGCAGUCAGCAUUCCCUGUCCGUGUUGUGGACUCCGGCGCCAGCGACUUCGCCAUCAGCAAUCGCUACAUGCAGGUCUGGUUCUCCGGCCUUACUGGGCUUCUCAAGGGGUCAGGGCUGUGGUUUUUGGCAGAGCAUCCGACGGGUGGAUGAGGAGCAGGAGCAGCAGAUGGAACUGGAGUUCCUCGUCUACGGCACCCGUACCUCCAAGGACAAGAGUGGCGCCUACCUCUUCCUGCCUGAUAGCGAGGCUAAGCCCUACGUCCCUAAGAAACCUCCUGUGCUGCGUGUCACCGAAGGCCCUUUCUUCUCAGAGGUGGCUGUGUACUAUGAGCACUUUCACCAAGUGAUUCGACUUUAUAACCUGCCAGGGGUAGAGGGGCUGUCUCUGGACAUGUCAUUCCAGGUAGAUAUCAGGGACUAUGUGAACAAGGAACUGGCCCUGCGCAUCCACACAGACAUUGACAGCCAGGGCACUUUCUUCACAGACCUCAAUGGCUUUCAGAUACAGCCCCGGCAGUAUCUGAAGAAGCUGCCCCUGCAGGCUAAUUUCUACCCUAUGCCAGUCAUGGCCUAUAUCCAAGAUUCCCAGAGGCGCCUCACGCUGCACACUGCCCAGGCUCUGGGUGUCUCCAGCCUCGGUAAUGGCCAGCUGGAGGUGAUCUUGGACCGAAGGCUAAUGCAGGAUGACAACCGGGGACUAGGCCAAGGGCUCAAAGACAACAAGAUCACCUGCAACCGUUUCCGCCUCCUGUUAGAACGUCGGACCACAAUGAGCCCAGAGGUGCAUCAGGAGCAGGAGCGUUCUACAAGCUACCCGUCCCUCCUCAGCCACCUGACAUCCAUGUACCUCAGCACACCUCCUCUUGUCUUACCCGUGGCCAAGAGGCAGGGCACUAGCCCUGCUCUGCGCUCUUUCCACCCUCUGGCUUCUCCAUUGCCCUGUGACUUCCAUUUGCUCAAUCUGCGCAUGCUCCCAGCCGAGGACACCUUGCCCGCAACUGACUCUGCGCUCAUCUUACACCGCAAGGGGUUUGACUGUGGCCUUGAAGCCAAGAACCUGGGCUUCAACUGUACCACAAGCCAAGGCAAGCUAGCCCUGGGGAGCCUCUUCCAUGGCCUGGAUGUGACCUUCCUGCAGCCAACCUCCUUGACUUUGCUAUACCCUCUGGCCUCACCUUCCAACAGCACUGACAUCUCUCUGGAGCCCAUGGAGAUCAGCACCUUCCGCCUGCGCUUGGGCUAGGCCAGGGCUUCUUGUGGCCUGAAGACAGGGUUCAUCCACAGAGACUGCCUCCUAACACCAAGACUAAGCUGGACAAGCCACACCAAGUCUCCCCUCCGCUCUGCCUCAGAAGUGACAGACUGUGCUGUGCCCUUCCGUUGUCUAUUGCUGCUCCUGCGUUUGGAACAGUCCUUACAUCAGCAGGCGGCGGGGGCAGAGAGACAGGGGAGAGGAGGCCCUUGCCCUAGGCUGUGAGUAGGUACCCAGCUGGGCACAACUCAGGCUUCAUCCUUUUCCCAAAAUGGGAUGUAGGAAGAGUGGGGACAAGCAGAAGAGGUCAGGGAGGCUGGGGGACAACCUCACGCUAGGAGACUGCAGGUAUGAGCUUGCUCUGCGGGGUCAUAUGGACCCCACAGUGCUGGUAUGAGGGUACAGGAGCAGGGUGAUUCUGGGAGGAGAGGGGUAGGCGCCCAUUAUUAGUGGAGUAAAGGCGUGGAAGGAGUCCCUGGUUCUCCUAAGAGCCUAAAGGCUUUGCUGCUUUCUGCUCUGGCUCUGUUCUGAGUGCCACUGGGCCUGCUCUGAGUGCCACUGGGCCUGCAUGCCCUGGCUAGGGGCUGCUGGGUGCAGGAAGGGCUUGCUUCAGACUCCAGGCCAGAGGCCACGGAACACUUCAGGCACUAGCACUAGUUCUCAGCUGAUCAUUUGGUGUUGAUCUGUGACAGGGGUAGGGAGUGUCUCCCCCUGAUCUGCUUUCUUAUCUCACACACCAGGCUCCCCACGAGUUCCCAUUGUGGGGAUCCUGGCAGGAUUCCUUUCUCUAAAAUGGAAACAGAGUUUCCAAGAGGGCUGUGCUUGGGUGUCUUGGGAAGGCAUCCUGUGCUGGGGCCCCUGGUGGGCUGAGGAGGUUCACUCGUAUCCCACCUGCAGAAGUAUUACCUGCCCGCUGUGUGGACGAGGAAGGCAGAGACAAAAUUAGGAGGUCAUGUGCUUGGAUGAACCUUCGUUUUUGCUUCAAUCAAUAGAGAAUCUGUCUAUAAAUGAUAAGAGUUGGUAAAAGCAAAGUUCCAUCCUUACGAAAACUUAGUAAGCCAAGACUAGAAAGAAGCCCGUAAUCUGGAUAAAGAUCUCGUCACCAGUAAGCGAAGGCGCCCAAAGCAUCGGACAGAGCAGGCUCUGAUCCCCUCAGUCAGAAACUGCCCGGCGGCACAGUGUGUUGGUGUCACUAACCCACACUUCAGAUGGAAACAAGAAUUACAAUUGCCACUGUUUUAAAACCAUAAGCUACCUAAGAAACCUGUGUGUCAACUAGCAAGGCAUUCUGUGAGUUGCCCUGUAACGACUGGUUCUCCCCAAAUCAACCCAUAAACAUCAGUGUAAUUCCCACGAGGUUGGACACUUUCUGGAACUCUUCAGGUCCUGGCAUUCAUCUGGAAGGUGACAGGCUGAGGAUGUGAAGUAGUUCUGAAUGGCCGAGGUGAUGAACGGCUGCUGACACUAAGGCGGGCAACAGGCAGUAGCUGUCUUAACAGAGUUCUCAAACGACUUGGACUCUUCUGCCAGCGUGAAUUCAGCUGCCAUGAUAGGUCAGGUCAGACAGACCUAGGCACGUAGAAAUUCAGUAUAUGAUUUCAGGUGCAGGGGAGGGGAGGUGGAUAUUUUCAUAGUGCUUUGAGACAGCUACCUACCUAUGAGACUUCUGUUUCAAAAACAAAACAAAACAACCUAGGGCUAGAGGGAAAAAAGCAAAAGCAAACAACAAAAUUGUUAUUAUUAUUAUUAUUAUUAAUUAUUAUUUUAGUCUCACUAUGUACCUCUGGCUGUGCUGGAACUCAUUAUGUAAACCAAGCUGGCCUGGAAAUCACAGAGAUUCCCCACCUGCCUCUGCCUCCUGAGUUCUGGGACUAAAGGCAUGCGCCAUCAUCACACCUGGGAGGAAAAAAAUUUUUUUGUUUUUUUGAGACAGGGUUUCUCUGUGUAGCUCUGGCUGUCCUGGAACUCACUCUGUAGACCAGGCUGGCCUUGAACUCAGAAAUCCACCUGCCUCUGCCUUCCUAGUGCUGGGAUUAAAGGCGUGCACCACCACUGCCCAGCAGAAAAAAAUAUUUUUAUACCUGAUUUAGGAAACCCUUUUCUAGACAUAACAUGAAACCUAAUAUAUAAUGGGGGAACAUUAAAAAAUAGGUUUUGACACACACACACACACACACACACACACACACACACACACACACACACACACACACACAAAGCUUGAAAGCAUGCUAUAGGAAACAGGUUAAAUCAAUACAGCUGUGUGGGUGGAAACGAGUCUGCAGUGAGUUCUGUCACUGCUGGAGAAAAGUGUGUUUUGACUUCUCAGAGAACGUCACUAGGGUCUGUCCAGCAGCACCCAAAGACUCAGUAGUGACAAGGCUGAGUUCUUGCAGGGUCUCCAUGGUUUAUGUUGCCAGGCUCAGGCCACACGGCUUCCUAUUCAUGUCUUGGUGACAGGAAUGAGAUGAAGAGUGGGGAGCGCUUAGCACAGAGCAGGGGUUGCGCCUACAGCAAGACUUAUUUGCUACCAUAUGGUUUGUAAUCAAAUGAUAGGGAACUGUGCAGAAUAAAGAAUAUUCUUUGGAGGUCAGA